AGACCAAAUAUGUAUCUCCGCCUACUAAAAAUAACAAAAAACAAAAUUACAUAAAACAACAAUCAAUUUUACGUUAAAUGCCUAAUCGAAUAAACAAGAGACAAAUAACUACUUUUAAAACGUUAAACAAGAUACAAUUUUUUUUUUCAGAUCUUUUUCCGCAUAAACAAGAUACAAAUCUUUUUUGUCAGAUCAAUUGCAAGGAAUGCUCAAUGGCAUAACAUGACAUAAUUGAAAUAAUAGUACACUUGUCCUUGUAGAUUUGCACAACCUUAACUUCACUAUUUUUGAAACCUGUAAUGAUCUUGUUUCCCUUCAUAUCGAACAACGGCAACGAAAUGGAUUUGGGUGAUUAUGGUAUAAUAUCGUUAAUCCAAACAUCGAAAUGACAUAUGAACACUGAAAUAUUCAUUGCAAUUGAUAAAAGAAAAUCAACAAAUAAUAAUAAAAAAGAGGUCCUAUGAAUUUUUUUUUGAUGGAACGUAUGAACUUUCAUUGCAAUUGAUGAAAGAAAAUCAACAAAUUGAAAAAGAAAACGUCGUAUGAAUUUAUUUUGAUGGAACGUAUGAA
rnacentral:lncRNA from 1 species